GACGAAGCUGGCGGCGUGCUUAACACAUGCAAGUCGCACGGAAAGGCCCUGCUUUUGUGGGGUGCUCGAGUGGCGAACGGGUGAGUAACACGUGAGUAACCUGCCCUUGACUUUGGGAUAACUUCAGGAAACUGGGGCUAAUACCGGAUAGGAGCUCCUGCUGCAUGGUGGGGGUUGGAAAGUUUCGGCGGUUGGGGAUGGACUCGCGGCUUAUCAGCUUGUUGGUGGGGUAGUGGCUUACCAAGGCUUUGACGGGUAGCCGGCCUGAGAGGGUGACCGGCCACAUUGGGACUGAGAUACGGCCCAGACUCCUACGGGAGGCAGCAGUGGGGAAUAUUGCACAAUGGGCGGAAGCCUGAUGCAGCAACGCCGCGUGCGGGAUGACGGCCUUCGGGUUGUAAACCGCUUUCGCCUGUGACGAAGCGUGAGUGACGGUAAUGGGUAAAGAAGCACCGGCUAACUACGUG
rnacentral:rRNA from 1 species